CGCAAGGGAUAGAGUCCUACUCAUUUGGGACUCUAGGGUUCAAACAAUUGGAUUUCUUUUAAACCCAAUCCAAUUAGACCCAAAUAAAAUAUGAUGAACUUAAUCUAAUUAGGAUCUUAUAAUCUCAAAUAAAUUUAAUCAAAUUAAUAAAUUAAUUGAGCCAUAGAUCCGAUCAAAUCAGGAUCAUUUCUUCCUUACUGAUUAGGU
rnacentral:lncRNA from 1 species